rnacentral:misc_RNA from 1 species
CAACCCUCAAGCCCCCGGGCUUGGUGUUGGGGCUCGGCCCGUCCCUCGUGGCGCGCCGUCCCCGAAAUCUAAUGGCGGUCUCGCUGCAGCCUCCCCUGCGUAGUAGCUAACACCUCGCAACGGGAACUGAGCGCGGCCACGCCGUUAAACCCCAACUCCUGAA